UCGUGCUAGACGGGGAGCUAGCGGUGCCCUCUACCCGCAAUCCGCUCUAGCGGGGUUGAACUCCUGAGUUGAGGCCGGCGACAUGAGACCUACCGACGCCAAGCAGUGAAGAAGCCUGGGUCCCGCGCGGCGGCCCGCCGUGAACC
rnacentral:SRP_RNA from 1 species